rnacentral:piRNA from 1 species
UGAGGAUUCAAGUUACCGUCUGGUGUC